rnacentral:lncRNA from 1 species
CAGUACCUGCAAUUCCAGUUGGCAGACAUGGCCACCAAGCUGGUUGCCUCCCGGUUGAUGAUCCGCACGGCAGCAGUGGCUUUGCAGGAGGAGCGGGAAGAUGCAGUGGCCCUGUGUUCCAUGGCCAAGCUCUUUGUUACAGAGGAAUGCUUUACUAUUUGCAACCAGGCUUUGCAGAUGCAUGGGGGCUACGGCUACCUGAAGGACUAUGCUGUUCAACAGUAUAUGCGGGACUCCAGGGUCCAUCAAAUCCUAGAAGGUAGCAAUGAAGUGAUGAGGAUGCUGAUCUCCCGGAGCCUGCUUCAGGACUAGCUCCCUGACUGGAGCCUAGCCUAGAGCUCCGAGUGCAGCUGUAACCAGUGUUGAAUGCUCAUAUUGGCUCUUCAGUUGCAAAUGAAUCAUGAAGCAGACUGAAGGGCCGAGCUCUUCUAAAGAAACCUGAGCUGUCUGCUGCAGUGCUGGCUCUGAGACAGGAACAGUGUUCUUAGCAGAGCUAGAAGGGCUGCUCCGAGGAGCCAUGCCAAAAAGCAGACCUGCACACUGCUUUCCUCACUCUGGAAGGACAAAGCAUCAAGACUGUGGCUUGGAUCCACAGUUUGUGCGUUUUGUUGAUUCUUAUCCUUAGGGUCUGGGUGCCUCAAUGAAGCUUUUCCUGAUUAAAGAGGUCAAGACUGGGGAGGCAAGGGCAGUGGACAGACCUUCCCCUUUCUGGUUUCUGUUCUGCACUAGGGUCAUCUCAGGGCGGUACUCCUGAACUCAGAUCAUGAUGAAAUAAAUAUUGGGGAAUCUACUGCUACAUGAUGAAUUAGGGUGCACCUUUAACUCCUGUAACCAUGAAAUAAAUGUCAAGGGCUAAGACUGUUUUGGAAUAUUUGGAUUUUUAAUGGGAUUUAUUUCCUCUGGAGGCUCCUUCUUUUUGUAAAUGCAUUUAAUUAGUCCCUUGGUAAGCGAAAUCUAUGUCUUUACUGCCUCCUUCCACUAUAAACCUUAAAACUAUAUUUGAGAUUUUGUAUUUGAUUAAAUAUUUAAUUGGAUUUUGGAAUAAUUAGAAUUUUCUCCUAAGGCAGUUUGUCUUUUUAAAAGGAAAUCUUUUAUUAAUAAUUUUAUAAAC